GCAAGUCGAACGAACCUUUAUGGUGAGUGGCGCACGGGUGCGUAACACGUGGGAAUAUACACAUAGGUAAGGAAUAACUCAGAGAAAUUUGGGCUAAUACCUUAUAAUGACUCCGGUCCAAAGAUUUAUCGCCUAUGGAUUAGCCCGCGCUAGAUUAGUUUGUUGGUGAGGUAAGAGCUCACCAAGACUACGAUCUAUAGCUGGUCUGAGAGGAUGAUC
rnacentral:rRNA from 1 species